rnacentral:tRNA from 1 species
GGCUUUGUAGUGGAAAAUAAGAUGUUGGACUGCAAAUCUAAAGAUGCACAUUGUUGCCAAAGCUU